UAGGAAUCUUCCACAAUGGGCGAAAGCCUGAUGGAGCGACGCCGCGUGAAGGAUGAAGGUCUUCGGAUCGUAAACUUCUAAAAGAGGGACGAUAAUGACGGUACCUCUUGAAAAGCACCGGCUAACUCCGUGCCAGCAGCCGCGGUAAUACGGAGGGUGCUAGCGUUAUCCGGAAUCACUGGGCGUAAAGGGCGCGUAGGCGGUCUGUUAAGUCUGAUGUUAAAGACUGGGGCUCAACCCCAGCAAUGCGUUGGAUACUGGCAGA
rnacentral:rRNA from 1 species